GAAGUUGUUCGUGGUGGAUUCG
rnacentral:miRNA from 18 species